AAAAAGGCAAACCCUGGGUUUCCGUGUCCAACUUUGACUGUCCGUCUUAUAUGAAAUUUUUUUAUAAUUCGUAUUUUCAUUGUUGUUAGAUGAUAAAACAUGAUUAAUAUUUUAUGCGUGACUUGUCUUUUUAAUUUUUUUCAUAAUUUUUUCGAAUAAGACGGACGGUCAAACGUUGGACACGGAAACCAGUGUUUGCCUUUUUU
rfam:Oryza sativa Japonica Group DNA, chromosome 1, cultivar: Nipponbare, complete sequence.